AUACGUAGGUGACAAGCGUUAUCCGGAUUUACUGGGUGUAAAGGGAGCGUAGACGGUUUGGCAAGUCUGCUGUGAAAGCCCGGGGCUCAACCGCGGGACUGCAUUGGAAACUGUCAGACUUGAGUGCAGGAGAGGUAAGUGGAAUUCCUAGUGUAGCGGUGAAAUGCGUAGAUAUUAGGAGGAACACCGGUGGCGAAGGCGGCUUACUGGACUGUAACUGACGUUGAGGCUCGAAAGCGUGGGGAGCAAACAGGAUUAGAUACCCUGGUAGUCCACGCGGUAAACGAUGAAUACUAGGUGUUGGGGGUCUAUAGACCCUCGGUGCCGCAGCAAACGCAAUAAGUAUUCCACCUGGGGAGUACGGUCGCAAGAAUGAAACUUAAAGGAAUUGACGGGG
rnacentral:rRNA from 1 species